UAUACAGUAUACUCUGCUAAUAGUGAAUACUGUAUACAGUAUACUCUGCUAAUAGUGAAUACUGUAUACAGUACACUCUGCUAAUAGUGAAUACUGUAUACAGUACACUCUGCUAAUAGUGAAUACUGUAUACAGUAUACUCUGCUAAUAGUGAAUACUGUAUACAGUAUACUCUGCUAAUAGUGAAUACUGUAUACAGUACACUCUGCUAAUAGUGAAUACUGUUUACACCACUCUGUUAGUGAAUACUGUAUACACCACUCUGUUAGUGAAUACUGUAUACACCACUCUGUUAGUGAAUACUGUAUACACCACUCUGUUAGUGAAUACUGUAUACACCACUCUGUUAGUGAAUACUGUAUACACCACUCUGUUAGUGAAUACUGUUUACACCACUCUGCUGAUAGUGAAUACUGUAUACACCACUCUGCUAAUAGUGAAUACUGUUUACACCACUCUGUUAAUAGUGAAUACUGUAUACACCACUCUGUUAAUAGUGAAUACUGUAUACAGUACACUCUGCUGAUAGUGAAAACUGUAUAGUGAUCAAUCGCUGACAGUCCUGCACAGAUUAUCACUAUAUGCGAAGUGCUCUGUAUUUCAGUUUAUGAAAAAGCACCUAAGUAUCCAUAUAUAACGACUAUAUGAAUUUGAAAUGAAAUAUACUAUACUCUAUUUUUGUGUGUAAAUCGUCACAGUUGUUUGUGGUGGACUACAGUGCUAUAUGAGGUAUUUAUGGAUUCAUAUACUGUAUUUUUAUGUUCUGUGAACGCUCUAAAAGACUCUGGGUUGAGGUCAGUGAUAAAGAUAAAAUAUUGGAUGGAGUUUGAAACAAACACAAGCAUGGAACCAAACAAUUCAACUAACUGUAACAUGGAGUUCAGUUACAUUUGUUAAAUGUUGAAUAAAGUAUAAAUAAAACUAUUAAGAAUAUGUAUUUAUCAGUUUGCCCUAUUUCAUCUAUUCACAACAACUGUGUGUUUGCCUGUUUGCCAUAGAAGGUUUAUAGAACCUCUCCCUAUGGCUGUGACUGGUGAACUAAAGGGUACACUCAAUAUGGCUGACCUGGUAGAGGAUUUCCAUUCUAGAGAUUAUAUUUCUAUGGCUAGCCUGCUUUCUCACAGUACAAGAUUAGUAUGUGACAGGCGAGCCGACUGAGAGAUGACGAGCAGCAGACGAUCGNNNNNNNNNNAACCCUGUUCCUGGAGAGUUACUGUACCAUCCUGUAGGUUCUCUCUCCAACCCUGUUCCUGGAGAGUUACUGUACCGUCUUGUAGGUUCUCUCUCCAACCCUGUUCCUGGACAGUUAUCGUACCAUCCUGUAGGUUCUCUCUCCAACCCUAACCUAGCGCACCUGACUCUUGUAAUUAGCUGGUUAAUAAGUUGAAUCAGGUUAGUUACAACUGGAAUUGGAUUGAAAACCUACAGGAGGGUAUCUCUCCGGGAACAGGGUUGGAGUUAAAACCUACAUGACGGUAGCUCUUCAGGAACAGGGUUGGAAAGAGAACCUACAGGA
rnacentral:lncRNA from 13 species